CCCUUAGAUGUCCGGGGCUGCACGCGCGCUACACUGAAGGAAUCAGCGUGCUAAACCCAUUGUCGAAAGGCAUUGGUAAACCCAUUAAAAUCCUACGUGAUUGGGAUCGGGAAUUGCAAUUAUUUCCCUUGAACGAGGAAUUCCCAGUAAGUGUGGGUCAUAAGCUCGCGUUGAUUACGUCCCUGCCCUUUGUACACACCGCCCGUCGCUGCCCGGGACUGAGCCGUUUCGAGAAAAGCGGGGACUGCUGCUGUCGGGGCUUUCGGGCCUUGGCUUCGGUGGAAACCGCUUUAAUCGCAGUGGCUUGAACCGGGCAAAAGUCGUAACA
rnacentral:rRNA from 1 species